rnacentral:rRNA from 1 species
CCUACGGGAGGCAGCAGUGGGGAAUCUUGCACAAUGGAGGAAACUCUGAUGCAGCGAUGCCGCGUGAGUGAAGAAGGCCUUUGGGUUGUAAAGCUCUUUUGUAGGGGAAGAUAAUGACUGUACCCUAAGAAUAAGGUCCGGCUAACUUCGUGCCAGCAGCCGCGGUAAUACGAAGGGACCUAGCGUAGUUCGGAAUUACUGGGCGUAAAGCGCGCGUAGGCCGUUGAGUUAGUUAAUUGUGAAAUCCCAAAGCUUAACUUUGGAACUGCAAUUAAAACUGCUCGACUAGAGUUUGAUAGAGGAAAGCGGAAUACAUAGUGUAGAGGUGAAAUUCGUAGAUAUUAUGUAGAACACCAGUUGCGAAGGCGGCUUUCUGGAUCAACACUGACGCUGAGGCGCGAAAGUAUGGGUAGCAAAGAGGAUUAGAUACCCUCGUAGUCCAUACCAUAAACGAUGAUUGCUAGAUGUUGGAAAUUUAUUUUCAGUAUCGCAGCUAACGCAUUAAGCAAUCCGCCUGGGGAGUACGACCGCAAGGUUAAACUCAAAGGAAUUGAACGG